rnacentral:rRNA from 1 species
UCGCCUGUUUUACAAAAACAUAGCCCAAAGAUUUAUUUUGGGUAAAUUCUGCCCAGCGUAAUUUAUUAGCGGCCGCAGUACUUUGACUGUGCUAAGGUAGCAUAAUCAAUUGGCUUUUAAUUGUAGUCUGGAAUGAAAGGACUAAUAGGGGUUAGCUGUCUCUAUACUAUUAUUUUGAAUUUAUUUAUUAAGUGAAAAUACUUAUACAAAGAAAAAAGACGAGAAGACCCUUAGAAUUUUAAUAAAAUAUUUAAUAAUUUUUUUUUGUUGGGGCGACAUUGAAACAAUUAAACUUUCAUUAACAAUCAAGACAUUUAGGUUUGAAAGAAUAAAUUACCUUAGGGAUAACAGCAUAAUUAAUUAUUUAGUUUGUGACCUCGAUGUUGGACUAGGAACUAGAAGAUUAACCGUCUAAAUAGAUGUCGUCGA